UAAAUAAAAUAUUUAUAGUUGUUGUAUUUAAGAAACUGACCCAAGUAGAAGGAAGUAUCUUACAUUGUACCGUACCCACUGUGGUCCAGUAAAACAAAUGUGAAAAAAAAAAUUGGGAGCAUCGUGCAAAUGCGCAGAGAAGGGCCUCGAACAAUGCAAUGCCGCGUCACCCACCCAAGACGCGGCGCCAUAAGAAAGCAUAAGCUUUUCUCUAAAGUCGCGGUGACCGAAGCACUUUAUUUUUCUCCUCCACCUUCACAAAAGGUAAGUGCUUUCGAUUUCUCUCGUCUUCUAUUUUGCGCCUUUUAUUUUUUUAUUUUUUUUAUUUCACCAUUUCCCAGGAAUGUAAAGAAAAUAAUAAUAAAAUAAGUAUACUCCCGAAAGAAAAUUAUCGACCAAGAUAAUCAUCCAAAUUUUGUGAAAUUAUUAGAGAGAUAUAUUCUUUUCUUUGCUGACUAUGUAAGUCAACUUUUUCUAAUACGAAAAGAUUAUUCCGUCCUCCAACAAUUAUCUCUGAAGGUGAUAAAGGUUUUUGUAGACUAAAAAUAGGGUUUAAAUGAGAUUUUUAUUAUUAAUCGGAGUUAAGGAUCGUACAGUUUAAUAUAAUUAAGGAAGAAGCAGCAGCAGCAGCAGCAGCACAAGGACGAGCUCGCCCCGGCGCUCUCAUCUUAAUCCCUGAACCGGGAAUCAAGGCCGGGGAAAUUUUACACCACAAAAUGAGGAAGCCAAAAGAAAAUUUGAAAAAAAAAAAAAAAUAUAAAAAAAACU
rnacentral:lncRNA from 1 species